rnacentral:tRNA from 1 species
ACGGAUAUGGUGUAGUGACUAACAUUAUCGCCUUUCAUGCGAUAGCCCAGGGUUCGAUUCCCCAUCCGAA